rnacentral:lncRNA from 1 species
UUUUAGCAAUUUAAAGCUUUUAUUAGAGUUAUUGGUUGUUUCACAUGGUUUCAUAAUAGAAGGUACCGAGUUCGAAUUCCUUCAUUUUCUUAGUUUCAUUUUUGUUUCCUUCCAAUUAAUUCAAAUUCACUUCUUGAAUCCGUCAAGCAAUCUCUAGCUUAGAUUAUUAGGCUUUUCGCUAGGGAUUGUUUAUUUUAUUAGUUUGUAAUAUUUCAAGAAUAUUGUAUGUCUUAUAUUAGAAAUGACAAGUUUGUUACUGAUUUAUCAUGUCAUUUGGAUAGGAAGGUUGUUAUGAAUUUAUAUAUUCUUUUUAAUGAAGUAGUGAUGCAUGAUAUAUA